rnacentral:lncRNA from 1 species
AAGGUCGAAGGCGAAAGAACAGGAGCGUAGGAAAAAGGGAGCAGCAGCGAGAACAUAUCGCGGGGAUGUUUGACAAAGAAGCCAUGGAGCCUGAUGGAGAUGCACGGGUCGGUGAAGAAGAAGGUUCCGCCGCCGCAAACAGGACCCGGAGUCGCAAGAGAGAGGAGAGUUGCUCAAUGGAGAUUGUAUCUGUUUCUUGAUGAGCACUUGUGAAAAUGUUGAGAGAAGUUACCG